CACAGGGAGUCAGACACAACUGAAUGACUAACCCUUUCACUUUCACUUUAGCCAGAUUUCAAAUUCUGUGAUCCGGGGAGACUCAGAGAGCCCUCAGAGAGAACCUCACGGUGACGGGAACCCUGGAGAAUGUUCCCAAAUGUCCCUAUCAUUAUCUUUAAAUGAGGGAGCUCGGCAAGCCUGAAAAAAUGUAUUCCAUCCUUAAGACACCACACACACACACGUACACAUGCAAACACAUAAUUUGUGAAACCUAGAAAAAACAAUUCUGAUUCCACCUCAAUUACUGCCUAUUUCAGGCCGAUGUGCUCUAGCUUUGCAAUGUUUUUAUAAUUGCUACACUUCUUCCAUAUCCAUUAAAUGCUGGAAAGCCCGACAGCCCUCCCCGGUCUUCGAUUAUUUUUCUUAAACUCCCAGUAGCUUUAAGCCCCAUAUCUUCCUGUUCCAGGUGGCUUCAGGGUGGAAGUGUGGGGGGUGGCUUUGUGAUUGGAAGGGGGCCCUUAUGGCAAAACCACGUAGCGUCCGUUCAUUCAUUCGCUCACUCACUCGUAAGCACUGGUGCCGUGUUGUCUACGUCUGGCACCUGCUGGCACAGCGUCCACAUAUCUGUUCCGUGUCAGCCCACACUCCCUCCUUAAGAAGCUCCAGACGGGCAGGACUCAGUCUGUUUUGCUCACUGCUGUUCCUGGUGCCCAGCACACAACAGCACACCGUAAACACGUGCUGCUUACAGCAACGAAUGAAUGGUUGAGUUCCUUCUGUGAAGUGGAGGUGAUCAUUAGCAUCAUUUCGUAGAUAAGGAAGCUGUGGCUUUGGUCACUUGCCCAGGAUUGCACAGCUGGUAAAUGGCACAGCAAAGAACACGCCACAUCUGCCUGACUUUGUUGGGGGAACCUGUGAUGGGGUCAGAAGAUGCUGUUGUAAGGACUGGCUGAAGGCUGGCCUGGCCCACAGGCAGACAGACCACGGAGCCACACAGCUGCAUUCUCUGGUUGUCCCCACUGUCCUGAAGCAUCUUGCCUGGAAAAUUCCUUGGCAGGGUCUUCAUUCCCAGAGGCACCAGAUCUGAUAGCCCGAGGCUCCUCCUGGAAUCACCGUGCUGCUCCCCACAGGUGGACCCCCAGCCGCAAGUCCUGCCUGGGGCUGGGAAGGGCCAUGCCUGCAGGAUAGGAGGAGACUCCUGGUCACCCAGGCUGCCCCAUCCUGGUCUCUGAAGAGCUCAGGACUCAGGCUUGAAGUCUUAGGAGGGUAGCGGUGACCUGGGUCAGGAAAUACUGACCGAACUGAGACAUCAACUCAAUGGGCAUGAGUUUGAGCGAACUCCGGGAGAUGGUGAAGGACAGGAAGGCCUGGCACGCUGCAGUUCAUAGGGUCACAAAGAGUUGGACACGACUGAGUGACUGAACAACAACUGAGACGCUUCUGGAGGAGAAAUGCCCAGAGCUGCAGACACGAGGUCCUCGCUCUCAGAGGAGCUCAGGCAUGGUUUUGAUACCAGCACUUUGACUCAUUUGCUCCUCCUACACAACCCUGGGGAGGGAGGGCACCAUUGUUAGUCCAAUCCUGGAGCUUGGAGAAACUCAGUGACUUGUCCAAAGUCACACAGCUGGGAAGUGCCUGAGAUGGGAUUUGAAUGCUGGUCUUGCUGGUCCCACUGGGAGGAGAGGGGGUGAGCACAGGAGAGGGUGGAGAGGUGCCCUGGGAGGUGGAGCACGUAGGAAGUCAGAGAGGACCAGGGAGAGAGUGUGGAGCAGGGCAUGAGGCAUGGGGGUGUCUGGGGGGCCGGGCCAGCAGGCUCCUGUAGACACUCACGUCUUUUGAGCACCCCUCUCCUUCCAUGUGGGGAGGCUUUGCGGGGAGCCCUGGGCAGUUUGGGUGCAAAGAUCCAAGCCAGGUAUGAGGGUGUCUUCCCCUAAGUGGCUGUGGCCCUAUUUGCUGACUUCUCAUGGUGGCUACUACCAGCUCACUUUGUGCACACCCCAGCUAGUGUUCAGCGGUCUAAGACUGAAGCUUCAGGGCCUCCGGAGUCCUGGCAUGGCUCCGGGGAUGGGCCCCUGACACACCCUUGACCCUCUCAACUCACCAUCUGGAGGGCAAUGGUGCUCUCCAGGCUCCCAUGGAGUGAAACUGGCCAGUGGAGUCCUGGGUGGGCUGCGUCCGCUCACACCUGUGUCUGCCCCAUGCUGGGCCCCGGGCUGUGAGAUAGCAGAGGCCCCUCACUCAGGGCCCCAGAAAGCUGGCAGGAGGGAACUGCCUAACAUCCUCUGUCAUCCCAAACAUGAGCUCGCCUUUCCUCUGGCUUUGCUUUCCUUCUGGAAGCGUCUUUCAUUUGUGCACUGAAAGUACAAGAAUUAAAUGGGAUUAUGGCUCCUGGCAUGGCAUCAACACCCAGAACGAUACUCCCAGGUGUGCUUUUUACUCUUUGCAAGCUAAAUGAAUGAGCCACUUGUUUAACUCGUUUUUACAUUUGGGUGUUAAAAAGACUCCAAGAUUAUAAAAUGGAUAUAAUGGUCGACAUAAAAAAACAGGUAUGGACUUUGAAAACAAAACAGCUCUAGGGUCCAUGAGAGCCUUGUUUCUGUCCCAGUGAGAGGAAUCUAUGCCUCAUCUCUGGGGGCUGGCUGGUGGCAGCUCCCGAGAGUCCCGUCCCCUCUGGGCACCACGGGGACAGCAGCCCUUCUCAGCUGGUGGGGGAAGGACAGGGCGCAACCUAUUUUCUCAAAGUGAAGGGAGAGCCAGCUGCUGCAGAGUUGUCCCGUUGCUAAGAGAAUUUUACCUACUCUGUGGACACUGACCCUCUGUCCCAUCGCCCCCACCACCAGACAGGCUGUGAGCGAUAGGAGAGAGUGAGCUGGGGACAGGGCCACUCCUUCUGGGGUGAGUGGCCUCCGUCAGCCACCGCCCUUGGCAAGCUCCUGCCUGCCUGUGGGCCAAGGUCGGGGACCAGCCAGAGGGAGGCAGGCCAGGGCGGCUGAGCUCCCAGGCACAGUGCAAAACAGACUGUGUGAAGGUGGGCAAUGUCAUCUCAGUAGCCAGACAGGGAUCUUCAUGUUCAGGAAGCUGCCCUCCUUACACUGGGACUCUGUUGGAUUCUAGAAGUGGGGCCUUUUGCACAGUGGAGCUGCCGUGAACUCAUGUACCCACCCAAAUCCUAGAGGAGUUAUAAAAAGGCCUGCCUGCUAAAAAUGACAAGACCUGGUGAUGUCUUAGUCAGCCAGGGCUGCCUUAACAAAAUACAGUAGACUUGAGGCUUAAACAACAGAACGGUUCUGGAGUCUAAAGUCCUAUAUAAAGAUAGUCGGCUUCUGGGGUUUUGGUGAGGGCUGUCUUCCUGGCCAGCAGAUGGCCACCUUCCUGAUAUGUCCUCACAUGGCCUUUCCUGGGUUGUGCAUGAAGAAGGAGAGACAGGGAGAGAGAGAGGAAGAGGGGUGAGAGAAAUGAUGGUGAGGGGGGAGAAGGAGAGAGAAAACUAUAUUCUUCCU